rnacentral:rRNA from 1 species
GAUCAUGGCUCAGGAUGAACGCUAGCUACAGGCUUAACACAUGCAAGUCGAGGGGCAGCAUGACCUAGCAAUAGGUUGAUGGCGACCGGCGCACGGGUGAGUAACACGUAUCCAACCUACCGGUUAUUCCGGGAUAGCCUUUCGAAAGAAAGAUUAAUACCGGAUAGUAUAACGAGAAGGCAUCUUCUUGUUAUUAAAAGAAUUUCGAUAACCGAUGGGGAUGCGUUCCAUUUAGUUUGUUGGCGGGGUAACGGCCC